rnacentral:rRNA from 1 species
GUGCCAGCAGCCGCGGUAAUACGGAGGGUGCAAGCGUUAUCCGGAUUCACUGGGUUUAAAGGGUGCGUAGGCGGGCAGGUAAGUCAGUGGUGAAAUCUCCGGGCUUAACCCGGAAACUGCCGUUGAUACUAUCUGUCUUGAAUAUCGUGGAGGUAAGCGGAAUAUGUCAUGUAGCGGUGAAAUGCUUAGAUAUGACAUAGAACACCCAUUGCGAAGGCAGCUUACUACACGAUCAUUGACGCUGAGGCACGAAAGCGUGGGGAGCAAACAGGAUUAGAAACCCUGGUAGUCC